GGGAACAUCGUAAUGUUGGGGGAGGAGUCAUUUUGUGACUUUUGAGUGAAAUCCAAUGGCCAAAACAAUGCAAUACACCAACCACUCCAUUUCAUAACGAACUUCGUACGAACUUGAAUUGUCCGAUUUCAGGGACCCAUCGAUAUCGAAUUGAGUCCAAAACAUGGCGAACAUCAUAAUAUUGUGGGAGGAGUCAUUUGGUGGGCUUUGAGUGAAAUCCAAUCUCUAGAACUACGCAAUACACCAACCACACCAUUUCAG
rnacentral:lncRNA from 1 species